AUGACUAAGACCGUCACCUCCUGCGACUGGGUCAUUUCCAAUGUCACAGAACGGACUCUCCAAGAGUUUGUUGCCAUGGGUGUUUUGCCAUCUAAGAAUGUCAUCCAUUGGCGGGUUCCAGGGGCUGAGGUUCCAUCUCAACCAAAAGAAGGAGAAGUUAUAGUUUUCUCUGAUCAUAUGCUCCGAGGCUUCUCACCGCCCAGCUCAAAAUUCUUCCGUGAUGUCCUGAAUUUCUAUCAGCUUCACCCUCAAGACAUCGGACCCAAUUCAGUUUCCAAUAUUUGCAAUUUUCAAGUCUUUUGUGAAUUAUACCUUCAAGAGGAGCCCAGCGUUUGA
rnacentral:rRNA from 1 species